rnacentral:rRNA from 1 species
UACGUAGGGGGCAAGCGUUGUCCGGAUUUAUUGGGCGUAAAGGGCGCGCAGGCGGCGCUUCAAGUCCGUUGUGAAAUUUCAGGUCUUAACCCUGACGGGUCAACGGAAACUGAAGGGCUAGAGUGCAGCAGAGGAAAGCGGAAUUCCCGGUGUAGUGGUGAAAUGCGUAGAUAUCGGGAGGAACACCAGAGGCGAAAGCGGCUUUCUGGGCUGUAACUGACGCUGAGGCGCGAAGGCUAGGGGAGCAAACAGG